GCCCUAGUAGCUCAGCUGGCAGAGCGCAUCCUUGGUAAGGAUGAGGUCAAAGGUUCGACCCCUUUCUUGGGCACCA
rnacentral:tRNA from 1 species